AUUGAACGCUGGCGGCAGGCCUAACACAUGCAAGUCGAACGAGUGGCGGACGGGUGAGUAAUGUCUGGGAAACUGCCUGAUGGAGGGGGGUAACUACUGGAAAAGGUAGGUAAAACCCCAUACAAUCAGAUUUGCCCAGAGGGGAUUAGCUAGUAGGUGUGGUAACGGCUCACCUAGGCGACGAUCCCUAGCUGGUCUGAGAGGAUGACCAGCCACACUGGAACUGAGACACGGUCCAGACUCCUACGGGAGGCAGCAGUGGGGAAUAUUGCACAAUGGGCGCAAGCCUGAUGCAGCCAUGCCGCGUGUAUGAAGAAGGCCUUCGGGUUGUAAAGUACUUUCAGCGGGGAGGCGUUACCCGCAGAAGAAGCACCGGCUAACUCCGUGCCAGCAGCCGCGGUAAUAC
rnacentral:rRNA from 1 species